AAUUAAUGAUUUUUAUUUUUUCUUACGGCGAGAUAUAAUUGGAAUGAAAAACUAAAAUUUAGAAAUUGAUACGGUGUUUCUAGCACAAGUGGCAAAGAUUUUGAUGGUUGGUAAUAUUUCAAGUUCAGAUUUUAUUUAAAUCAUAUUUCUAAUUAAAUUUAUUUUUUAAAAAGAUAAAUGCGAAGUAGGUAGCAUGUUAUCUUUCUCUAAAAAAAAUAAAAUAAAAAAAGGCAAAAAAGUUUAGAAACCUGAUUACCAAAAAAAAAA
rnacentral:lncRNA from 1 species